GUUGUCGUGGCCGAGUGGUAAAGGCGAUAGACUAGAAAUCUUUUGGAAUCUUCCCGCGCAGGUUCGAAUCCUGCCGACAACG
rnacentral:tRNA from 1 species